rnacentral:rRNA from 1 species
AGUGAACGCUGGCGGUAGGCCUAACACAUGCAAGUCGAACGGCAGCACAGUAAGAGCUUGCUCUUACGGGUGGCGAGUGGCGGACGGGUGAGGAAUACAUCGGAAUCUACUUUUUCGUGGGGGUUAACGUAGGGAAACUUACGCUAUUACCGCAUACGACCUCCGGUUGAAAGCAGGGGAUUUUCGGACCUUGCGCGUUUGAUUGAGCCGAUGUCGGAUUAGCUAGUUGGCGGGGUAAAGGCCCACCAAGGCGACGAUCCGUAGCUGGUCUGAGAGGAUGAUCAGCCACACUGGAACUGAGACACGGUCCAGACUCCUACGGGAGGCAGCAGUGGGGAAUAUUGGACAAUGGGCGCAAGCCUGAUCCAGCCAUACCGCGUGGGUGAAGAAGGCCUUCGGGUUGUAAAGCCCUUUUGUUGGGAAAGAAAAGCAGCAGGUUAAUACCCCGCUGUUCUGACGGUACCCAAAGAAUAAGCACCGGCUAACUUCGUG